rnacentral:rRNA from 1 species
AACGAACGUUGGCGGCGUGGAUUAGGCAUGCAAGUCGGGGGAAUCCCAGCAAUGGGGGAACCGGCGUAAGGGGCAGUAAGGCGUGGGUACCUACCCUGGGGUUCGGGAUAGCCGUCUGAGAAGGCGGGUAAUACCGGAUGACCUCGGGAGAGCAAAGAUUCAUCGCCCUGGGAGGGGCCCACGUGAUAUUAGCUAGUUGGUGAGGUAACGGCUCACCAAGGCGAAGAUGUCUAGCGGGUGUGAGAGCACGACCCGCGCCACUGGCACUGAGACACUGGCCAGACACCUACGGGUGGCUGCAGUCGAGGAUCUUCGGCAAUGGGCGAAAGCCUGACCGAGCGACGCCGCGUGUGCGACGAAGGCCUUCGGGUUGUAAAGCACUGUCGAGGGGGAGAAAAGCCCGCAAGGGUGUGAUCUAUCCCUGGAGGAAGCUCGGGCUAAGUUCGUGCCAGCCGCCGCGGUAACAC